UACGAAGGGGGCUAGCGUUGUUCGGAAUCACUGGGCGUAAAGCGCACGUAGGCGGAUGUGCCAGUCAGGGGUGAAAUCCCGGAGCUCAACUCCGGAACUGCCUCUGAUACAGCACGUCUUGAGUUCGAGAGAGGUGGGUGGAAUUCCUAGUGUAGAGGUGAAAUUCGUAGAUAUUAGGAAGAACACCGGUGGCGAAGGCGGCCCACUGGCUCGAUACUGACGCUGAGGUGCGAAAGCGUGGGGAGCGAACAGG
rnacentral:rRNA from 1 species